rnacentral:pre_miRNA from 13 species
UUCACCCAGCCACGUGACUUGUGGGCUUCCCUUUGUCAUCCUUUGCCUAGGGCUCUGAUAGGGCAGGGACUGCAAAGGGGUACUCAGUUGUCACCGUCUGC